rnacentral:rRNA from 1 species
AACUAACAAGGAUUCCCCUAGUAACUGCGAGUGAACCGGGAUAAGCUCAAAUUUUGAAUCUGGUAGUCUUUCAUACUAUCCGAGUUGUAAUCUAGAGAAGUGUCUUCCGCCCUGGCUCGUGUACAAGUCUCUUGGAAUAGAGCAUCCUAGAGGGUGAUAAUCCCGUCUUUGACACGAACCACCAGGGCUUAUGUGAACCACUCUCAACGAGUCGAGUUGUUUGGGAAUGCAGCUCAAAUCUGGUGGUAAAUUCCAUCUAAAGCUAAAUAUAGGCGAGAGACCGAUAGCGAACAAGUACCGUGAGGGAAAGAUGAAAAGAACUUUGGAAAGAGAGUUAAACAGUAUGUGAAAUUGCUGAAAGGGAAACGCUUGAUGUCAGUCACAUUGUUUAGGGAUCAGCCUGGCUUUCAUCGCUAGCCGUAUUUCUUACUCAAUGGGUCAGCAUCAGUUUCAAUCGCUGUACAAUCACAAGGGAAAUGUAGCUCUUUUCGGASUGUAUUUAUAGUCCUUUGCUAUAUCCGGCGGUCGGGACUGAGGAACUCUGCACAAACUUAACCUAUCUUUGUGCAUAGGUUGCUGGCAUAAUGGCCUUAAGCGACCCGUCUUGAAACACGGACCAAGGAGUCUAACAUGCCUGCGAGUAUUUGGGUCAUAAACUCAAGUGCGUAAUGAAAGUGAUCUGUCCAGACCUUUGUCAUAAAGGGCAUAGACACCCGGACCAAAGUCUACUUUGACAAUGGAUUCGAGGUAGAGCAUGCAUGUUGGGACCCGAAAGAUGGUGAACUAUGCCUGAAUAGGGUGAAGCCAGAGGAAACUCUGGUGGAGGCUCGUAGCGAUUCUGACGUGCAAAUCGAUCGUCAAAUUUGGGUAUAGGGGGCGAAAGACUAAUCGAACCAUCUAGU